CCCAUGAUGGAAAUAUCGCGAGAGGAUGUAUAGGAAGUUGUUGCCGCGUGUUUCAUGUUUGCAUUCAAUGCCCUUUAUUGCCUAAUGCAAUGACAGGACUGCGACAAUGGCGGGACAGCUGAAGAAGCAGUUAAAAGACGCAGUGAAGGUCAUCGGCUCAGGUAGCCUUCUUUUUGCCUCCUACCUCACUGCAGUUGGAGAUGAGCGUUUCUAUGCCAAUCAGCUAAUGCCCCUGCUGCAGAGGAUUGUGGGGGCAGAGACUGCACAUGUUUUGGCAGUGAAACUGAUCAGUCUGGGUCUGGUUCCUCUGAACCGCUACCAGGACCCUGCAUCAUUGGAAGUUAAAGUCCUAGGAUUAAAGUUCAAAAACCCUAUUGGGAUCGCGGCUGGUUUUGACAAGAACGGAGAGGCCAUAGACGGGUUGUACAAGAUGGGUUUUGGCUUUGUUGAAGUGGGUACCAUCACUCCUAAACCUCAGGAAGGGAACACCAAACCACGUGUGUUUCGACUCACUACAGAUCAUGCAAUUAUUAACAGGUAUGGAUUCAACAGCUGUGGUUUGGCAGAAGCACAACAGAGGCUGAAGUCCAGGGCAGACACUCAGAAACAGAAAAGUAAAGCUGGCCUUCCCCUGGGCAUCAACCUGGGGAAGAACAAGCUGUCCCAGAACGCAGGGGCAGAUUACUUGGAGGGGGUAAGAGUGCUGGGCCCGCUGGCUGACUACCUGGUGGUCAACAUCAGCAGUCCUAAUACGCCAGGUCUCCGGGAUCUACAGGGCAAAGUCGAGCUCCGCAAGCUCCUUCAUACGGUGCUGAAGGAGCGUGAUGCCCUGCAGGGAGAACGCAUACCCCCGGUCCUGGUGAAGAUUGCUCCUGACCUCACUGCCCAGGACAAACAAGACAUUGCUGAUGUUGUCACUGAGCUGGGAGUGGAUGGUUUAAUGGUGUCUAACACUACAGUGUCCAGACCAGAGACACUUCAGGAUUUACACAAGUCUGAGAUUGGUGGGCUGAGUGGCCAGCCUCUCAAAGACCUCUCUACUAACACUGUUAGAGAGAUGUACAACCUCACCAAAGGUAAAAUACUAAUUGUUGGAAUCGGUGGUGUGGCCAGUGGGCAAGAUGCUAUGGAUAAGAUCCGUGCCGGUGCAUCGCUGGUUCAGCUUUACACAGCUUUGACCUACAAAGGUCCGCCCAUUGUGACCAAGAUAAAGCGAGAACUGGAACAACUUCUUAAAGAACAAGGUUUCAGCAGUGUAUCAGAGGCAGUUGGAGCAGAUCACAGAGGAGCAGAUGGAUUGACUCAUGCGCAGAGUGCGCUGAAAGAGAUGGUAAAUGUUAACACAGACAAGCCACACCUGUAGCUGCCAUCUCCCUCUGACCAAGCAACAUGAUCUUCAACUUUUCCUGAACUGUAAUAAAUGAGGAGUAUUUGCGAUUGUCCAUCCGUCCACCCGCCCUGAUUUCCAGGAUGAGAUAUGGUCCGAACUGUUUGCUGUUUAAAAACAGAU